CUGAGGGGAGUGGACGGGGCUGCUAGAUAUACUUCCCAGGACUACAGUUGACACUGAGGAAUUAUUUGCAAAAAGUGUUACAAGAUAGGAAUUAUCCGUGAGGGCCUAGGAGACCUCUUUCUCCAGGGCUAGGCAUUUGUGAUCCUUCUCCUCUUUGGUCACUAAUGUUGUGGGUAAGUGACAAUGACAUAGGGACAUUAGAAUUGUUGUCAAGGAGAUGGGAUUGUAGGUUGGUGCCAUUCUUACGUGAUACAAAUAGCUGUUUCUCUGUUUUCCUGGGAGCCGCUACAGCUUACCACCUUUACUACACAACGCUUGAACAGCGGGAAGUUUUACACCUCCAUCUCGAAGUGUCAUCAUCUCACCUGAAGCCAUGGCUGUCCACAUGUCAUUCAGAGGGUCUUGCUGAAUUGCCCAGGCUGGGCUUGAUCUCAUGA
rnacentral:lncRNA from 1 species